rnacentral:rRNA from 1 species
AUUGAACGCUGGCGGCAGGCCUAACACAUGCAAGUCGAGCGGAGCGGCGGACGGGUGAGUAAUACCUAGGAAUCUGUCUGGUAGUGGGGGAGAACGUCAGGAAACGGGCGCUAAUACCGCAUACUAUCAGAUGAGCCUAGGUAGGAUUUGCUGGUUGGUGGGGUAAAGGAGUACCAAGGCGAAGAUCCGUAACUGGUCUGAGAGGAUGAUAAUUCACACUGGAACUGAGACACGGUCCAGACUCCUACGGGAGGCAGCAGUGGGGAAUAUUGGACAAUGGGCGAAAGCCUGAUCCAGCCAUGCCGCGUGUGUGAAGAAGGUCUUCGGAUUGUAAAGCACUUUAAGUUGGGAGGCGUUACCAACAGAAUAAGCACCGGCUAACUUCGUGCCAGCCGCCGCGGUAAUAC